rnacentral:rRNA from 1 species
AGUGAACGCUGGCGGUAGGCCUAACACAUGCAAGUCGAACGGCAGCACAGUAAGAGCUUGCUCUUACGGGUGGCGAGUGGCGGACGGGUGAGGAAUACAUCGGAAUCUACUUUUUCGUGGGGGAUAACGUAGGGAAACUUACGCUAAUACCGCAUACGACCUACGGGUGAAAGCAGGGGAUCUUCGGACCUUGCGCGAUUGCAUGAGCCGAUGUCGGAUUAGCUAGUUGGCGGGGUAAAGGCCCACCAAGGCGACGAUCCGUAGCUGGUCUGAUAGGAUGAUCAGCAACACUGGAACUGAGACACGGUCCAGACUCCUACGGGAGGCAGCAGUGGGGAAUAUUGGACAAUGGGCGCAAGCCUGAUCCAGCCAUACCGCGUGGGUGAAGAAGGCCUUCGGGUUGUAAAGCACUUUUGUUGGGAAAGAAAAGCAGCAGGUUAAUACCCCGCUGUUCUGACGGUACACAAAGAAUAAGCACCGGCUAACUUCGUG